ACGGAAUAGAUACCCCGGUAGUCCACGCCCUAAACGAUGUCUACUAGUUGUUGGUGGAGUAAAAUCCAUGAGUAAACGCAGCUAAACGCGUGAAGUAGACCGCCUGGGGAGUACGGUCGCAAGAUUAAAACUCAAAUGAAUUGACGGGGGCCCGCACAAGCGGUGGAUUAUGUGGAUUAAAUUCGAUGCAACGCGAAAAACCUUACCUGGCCUUGACAUGUAACGAACUUUCCAGAGAUGGAUUGGUGCUCGAAAGAGAACGUUAACACAGGUGCUGCAUGGCUGUCGUCAGCUCGUGUCGUGAGAUGUUGGGUUAAGUCCCGCAACGAGCGCAACCCUUGCCAUUAAUUGCCAUCAUUUAGUUGGGCACUUUAAUGGACUG
rnacentral:rRNA from 1 species